GGCAGGUGCAGAGGAUGAGAAGACAGACGCGGCGUCCCGCGAUGAGUUGUGAAUUUUACAUGCACUUAACGUUACGGAUCACCUCGCAUAGUGUGGAACCUCAAAGGGAAACGAGGCGGCUGCUCCACCCACAGUCCUAACCCCGAAUUGAGCGGGUGCUGUAUGCAGAAACGAACGCCCAUGUGGAGACGUGCUUACGGUGGCUGCUUUUAAGGCGAUUCGAAAUGAGUUUCAGGUUGCACAUUAGCAAAGCAUCACCAGCAGCUGAGUACUGGAGCCAGGAACGUUGGCCUUCUGUGAGGUUUUGAGAACUGUGUUGAAGUGCAGUUAGAGCUGGUGGCAGCAGCAGCUCAACCCGAAAGGAGGCUACAUCACCAGAAGAUGGUCAGUCUGAAGGACCAGUUGCUGCCAUCAGUUUGGAUUCUGAAAAUGUAAAAGGCUUCAACAUUUUGUGCAGAAAUGCCUUGUAUCAGGGAGGCCGUUAACACAGCCAAGAGAUGUGUCUGCAACCUUCUUCUGGGACAGUCUUGAGUUUUCUAGCAUUGUCCCUUGCUAACCUGUCCCAACAGGAACGUCUAUACCUCUUUAUAAAUUUACUUUUU